AUCAUGGCUCAGGAUGAACGCUAGCUACAGGCUUAACACAUGCAAGUCGAGGGGAAACGACAUCGAAAGCUUGCUUCCGAUAGGCGUCGACCGGCGCACGGGUGAGUAACGCGUAUCCAACCUGCCCACCACUUGGGGAUAACCUUGCGAAAGUAAGACUAAUACCCAAUGACGUCUCUAGAAGGCAUCUGAAAGGGAUUAAAGAUUCAUCGGUGAUGGAUGGGGAUGCGUCUGAUUAGCUUGUUGGCGGGGUAACGGCCCACCAAGGCAACGAUCAGUAGGGGUUCUGAGAGGAAGGUCCCCCACAUUGGAACUGAGACACGGUCCAAACUCCUACGGGAGGCAGCAGUGAGGAAUAUUGGUCAAUGGGCGAGAGCCUGAACCAGCCAAGUAGCGUGCAGGAUGACGGCCCUAUGGGUUGUAAACUGCUUUUAUAAGGGAAUAAAGUGAGCCUCGUGAGGCUUUUUGCAUGUACCUUAUGAAUAAGGACCGGCUAAUUCCGUG
rnacentral:rRNA from 1 species